rnacentral:piRNA from 1 species
UGUUAUUGGAUGAAUGCCUUCAUA